CACAACUGCAUAUAAGAACUCCAACUCGACCCUGAGUUCUCGCAGUUACUUCUCAACUUCCGCCUGCUCUCUGCUUGAGCCGAUCGACUAUCGGGAAUCUGCUAUUUGCCCGGAUUCUCAGACCUUAUAAAUCGUCUCGCCACUGCAGGGAUGCGGAACAAGGCGCAACGGCGGCCCGUCGCUUCUUGGAUUAAUAGCACGAGUGCGGGUCGCCGAUUUCGCAAUCCCUUGCAGAGGUGAGUCGAUA